GACGUAGGGCGCGAGCGUUGUCCGGAUUUAUUGGGCGUAAAGAGCUCGUAGGCGGCUUGUCACGUCGUUUCGUGAAAACUUGGGGCUCAACCCCAAGCUUGCGGUCGAUACGGGCAGGCUAGAGUUCGGUAGGGGAGACUGGAAUUCCUGGUGUAGCGGUGAAAUGCGCAGAUAUCAGGAGGAACACCGGUGGCGAAGGCGGCAUCCUGGACCGGCAUUGACGCUGAGGCGCGAAAGCCAGGGGAGCAAACGGG
rnacentral:rRNA from 1 species